CACUCCUGCGGGAGGCAGCAGUGGGGAAUAUUGGACAAUGGGCGCAAGCCUGAUCCAGCCAUGCCGCGUGAGUGAUGAAGGCCCUAGGGUUGUAAAGCUCUUUCACCGGUGAAGAUAAUGACGGUAACCGGAGAAGAAGCCCCGGCUAACUUCGUGCCAGCAGCCGCGGUAAUACGAAGGGGGCUAGCGUUGUUCGGAUUUACUGGGCGUAAAGCGCACGUAGGCGGACUAUUAAGUCAGGGGUGAAAUCCCGGGGCUCAACCCCGGAACUGCCUUUGAUACUGGUAGUCUUGAGUUCGAGAGAGGUGAGUGGAAUUCCGAGUGUAGAGGUGAAAUUCGUAGAUAUUCGGAGGAACACCAGUGGCGAAGGCGGCUCACUGGCUCGAUACUGACGCUGAGGUGCGAAAGCGUGGGGAGCAAACAGGAUUAGAAACCCCUGUAGUCCC
rnacentral:rRNA from 1 species